GAUGAAGAACGUAGUGAAAUGCGAUACGUAGUGUGAAUUGCAGAAUUCAGUGAGUCAUCGAAUCUUUGAACGCACAUUGCACCUCUCGGUAUUCCGGGAGGUAUGCCUGUUCGAGCGUCAUUUGUACCCUCAAGCUCUGCUUGGUGUUGGGUGUUUGUUCCGCCUCUGUGUGUGAACUCGCCUCAAAACAAUUGGCAGCCGGCGUACUUGUUUCGGAGCGCAGCACAUUUUGCGAUCCAGAUCAACGUACAGCGGCAUCCAAGAAGCCUUAUUUAACGCUCUUGACCUCGGAUCAGGUAGGGAUACCCGCUGAACUUAAGCAUAUCAAAAGCGGAGGA
rnacentral:misc_RNA from 1 species